GGACAUAAUAAACUUGUUUGAAGUUUUAUUUUACAAUCAGGAAGUAUACAAAUAUUUUUUUUUGGGGGGGGGGGGAUGCACAUUUCUGCUAUCCCCAGGCCUGGAAAAGACAAUAUAGUCAUGCAAAUUUAUAGAUGCCAAGUUAUUAAUAGCAAUAUUUGCUAAUAGAUUUCAGGCUGUGAUAGCAACCCAAGUUAUGUACACUAUAUGCACACUUUAAAUCACAUUCAAAGCACAUGCUUUUCCUCAAAUAGUAAUUAUGGGAAAUGCAAUUUGUUAAGGGUUGCUGGGAAUUCUAACUCUGUAGAGGGUAAACUACAGUGCCCAGAAUUCUUUGAGGGAUCAGGUGGGCUUCAUUCAUUGAAGGCAGGGAGCAGAAAAUUUAAGAUUGUGUUCAAAUGGCAAAAGAACAUACUGCUGCAAUUAUUGCUUUUGAGACUGACAAAAAUGUUUGACAAAAUAUAUUGUCAGUUUGUUUCUUUUUAUUUGGGAAAGAUGGGUUUUUUUAAAAGAAAUUUAUUAAUUGGAUUAGAAUCGUUUGUCCUCAAUUAUGGGUAAUUAAAAUUGAAUUAUUUUUGGUUUGAAGUGAGAUGUGAGGUAGGAUUUUCUUCUUUCUCUUUCUCUUUUGAUAUUUGAUUUAUAUUUGGAACCAUUGGCACGGUUAGGCAGAAGAGGGAGAUUCAUGGUUUUUUUUUACACAAAUAAAUGGAAUUUAAAAUAGCUGCACAUUGCAAAUUUAUUAGUAGUUCUGAAUCAUCCACACCAGAACUAAUAAAAUUGAUUAAUAAUGUUGCAAUUUCUGGCUAUACAAUUAAUUGGUUAAAAUCUGAAUUAAUACUAGUGGGCACUAUUAAGUCAUCUAGUUUAUAUGCUAAACAUCUAGUUUAUAUGAUUACAUUCACAAGUGAUAAGCAUGAUUUUGAAUAUAUGCAGUGGAGCUAUUCAAAUGUGUUACAAUUUGCAUUAUUUGCUUUUGGAAAUGAUUUUUGUGUGUGUGUGUGUGUGUGUGUGUGUGUAUGUGUAUAAACACAGAGAGAAAGAGAGAUGAAAAACAACAAUGCACCUGGGAUCUGAAAACCUGUACAACUUUUUGGGAACACCAGAUUACAUUGAUAGUGCUUAGGGCCUUAGGCCUUAGUUGUUGCUCACAAUAUAUAUCAAUCAAGAGGUUAUAACAAAUUAUUGCGAUGCCCUCCCCUCUCUUCUUAGAAGAAAUUCAGUUCCAUUUUCCACUGCAUUCAGCAUGUUUUCUAAGGAUGCCCACUCUGCUGCUUAGCCUACCAAGUGUUUAAACAUAGAUAAACAGAGACCUGUAGUUUGCUAAAUUGCUAUUUAACCUUCAUAAAUAUAAAUAGAAAAGUUAUGCUUAUCUUAUCUUGCAAUGUGUUGUCCAAAAUAUUGUCUAUUAUUGUCCUGUAUCUUCAAAAAAUGCUAACCUUCCAGCUUCCAGACAGAUAAUUUUGUUACAUUAUAUAUAUAUGCCUGUAUUUUCAUUGGUCUGUUAAAAUGAAUAUUGAAGCUGAUUCAGCAAAUUAUGCUGCAUUCGCUUUAGUGGUACUUUUUGUGCCUGAUUUCAUUACCCAAUAGAAAUAUUUUCCCGCUAUAUAAUUUAUUUGAAGACCUUCAUAAAUAUUGCACUUACGCCUGAUGUCAAGGAAAGAAAAUGGAGAGGAACAUUCUGCUUCACCAAUGAAAGGUAGCUAAGAGGAAAUGCCUGUUUUUAAUUGGUUCACAUGAAUGCCUUCUCUACUCCUAAUGAUUUACCAUUGCUUCAAGGAGGGUGGAUGGAGAAAAGAUUUAUAAUUAAAUUGGCUGGCUGUCUUUAUGUUUUCACUGUAGAGAUGAAGGAUGAAAAUGCAUUUUAAUAAAGCAUCUCUCUAGAUUCUGGUUACCACUGAUAACUCUAUGAAAACACUAGAUAGCACUAAAUAAUGUGUCAUUAAAAUACACCAGCCAGGUGGCAACCCUCCAUCUCAAGGGGAAAAUAUAAACUGAAUAUGGGGUUUUCAUACAGACUUAAUGAUCAACCUAGAAAAAUUAACUUGGAUCUUUUUGUUGAAGUUACUGAGUCAAUGACUCAGACAUAGCUAAAUUCAUUUAUUUGCAUUAAUAUUUUCCCCACUUAUAGUAAUACAACAUAAGAUACAAAAGAGAUUUAACAUAGUUUUAAACAUUUGUUCUAAACAGAUAGAUUCAUAUUAUUCCAAGAUUAUUUCCACCUCUGCAUGAAUAUUUGUGAAACUAUAAAUUUGUUCUCAAUUUCUGCAGAUCGUAAACAAAUCCUCAUCAAUGUAUUUUAAAGUUGCCAGACUUUUUUUUUCAUAAUUAAUACAAACUGCUUUAUAUGGCUCACUUCCAUUUGAAGUAGUGAAUUGAUUGUAGGGUUCUCAUAAAGUGGGGGGGGGGCAGAGAAAGCAGCUCAAUCAUUACAGUCGUGCCUCGCAAGACGAAAUUAAUUCGUUCCGCGAGUUUUGUCGUCUUUCGGGAAAGCUUCAAAAAUCACCAAAGUCUUUAAAAACCUCAAAAAAGGCUACCACACCGCAUUCUAUGAGUUGCUCCUCAAAGUCAAGUCGCAACUGUAUUAACGGUGUUAAGAAAAAGGAAACAAACUUGCAAGACGUUUCCGUCUUGCGAAGCAAGCCCAUAGCAAAAAUCGUCUUGUGAAGCAGCUCAAAAAACAAAAAACCCUUUCGUCUAGCGAGUUUUUUGUCUUGCGAGGCAUUCGUCUUGCGAGGUACCACUGUAUUGUAUUCAGUCUUAAAGCCACAGUGACAUGUAAGUCAACUUUUCUUGCAAAUUGUGCAGAGUUUCGUAAGAAUGAUAUGACAGAUAAGAGAGGGUUUCCUCUCUGCAAGGCAAACUUGUGUGUAGAUGUUAAUAUAGCUCUGUGGUUGAGGUGUUUUGGAAUGAGAAAUAGAUGUAAAAUUCAUGGGAGGCAAUUAAUUUCAUCUCCUCAAGUAUGUUAUGAAGCGCUCUCCCCUUCUCCGACUAUCAUAACAUUUUAUAGUAUAAUAUUAAGCAGUAUUAUCUACUGUGGGGGUAUCUCAAAAUGAUCCUAUGACUUUUGAAAUAAUUAAGUUUCAGUUACUUUAACAACUUAAUGGCGGACAGGGAUCCACAGUGAUGUUUUCCAGUGAUGAGAUAAGGGCUUUGUGGGCUCAUGAGCAGAGAUGGAAUAUUGAGAGGGUGCCAUGGACAUCUCCCCAUCCCCAGUUCCUUCUCUCCCCCCAUCAGUCAGAUAGAAAGUGUGUGUACAGCCUCGCACACUGCUUUACCAUGGAGUAAAAGCUGGAUCUGUAUAAUUUUCCCAGGGUAAAAGCUGGAUCCGUAGAAUUAAAAACCAAUCUUCUUGAACCACCGUCAAAUUAAAGUCUACUACAUUGGUAGAUUGCACAGGGUUGCUUUCAUUUGUCCCUACGAUGUGUAUUGAAGUUCUCACCCUGGCCACCAGGGGGGAUUGUGUAUAUAGUUUUCACUCAGGUCCACGUAAGUUAAUUUAGGUGUGAAACCCUGGGCUGUUGUUGUUACAGUGUUGACAGCCAGUUGCCUAUAAAAGCAGACUGGCUGAGCUGUGUGCUGUUCAGUUCAGUUCCAGCUUACUUAUAAAGAACUACUUGGAGAAAUCUCUGUGUCGGGGAAAGGAAUUGCUGAAUUAACUGAACUGGAAUACAAAAAAGGGAGGCGUGAGGAGGUCAGGGAAACAAGUAAAUGAAAAGUAAGGUAUGGAAAGAAUGAUUUGUUUUUUUAAGUCUUUUUUAUUUUUUCUGUAUUUAGCAUUUUUUCUUUUUUCUAUUUUUCUUUUUCUUAUAUCUGUAACUUUUCUCUUUUUUGGAAACCUUAAUAAAUAUCAUUUUUUAAAAAAGAGAGAAAUCUCUGUGUCGUCUGCUAUGUCCACCCACUACUACCUAUGAUGUGCAUUUUUAUGAGUUGGUGGUACUUGGGGUGCAACAUAUGGAAAACCGUUAACAGUUUCAAGGGAAUCUGUUUUUACUAGAUCUGGCUUGUAUAUUUAUUCUGGCCUCCCUUUUCUUUCUCGCACAAGCGUGUGUCUUUGACUCCUGCGGGACUCCACUUUUUCCCACCCCCGCCCACACUAUUUUCCUUGCCCUAGUCUUCCACGAAGCUCCCUUUCACUCCUGCCCUGUUUAGCUGCUCAGGUAGCAGUCUGAACCUUGAAAAGCACACAAAGCUGCCGGAGAAAGUAGGGAGGUGCCUUGCUCUUCCUGCUUCCUCUUUUACAUCUGGGUGCUGUCAAGAAGAGAAAGUCCAACCACUUUGCCACCUCGGGAUGAAGCAGGCAGUAAGUAAGGGAAGAGGCUGAGGGGCUUUGUGGACUCCAGGUGAAGUUCUUAAGGACGCCACCGCACCCAUGGAUGCCACAUGGCUAACCUCAGGAAUAAGCCAUACCUGUUGGUUGAUUUGUUAUAACAGUUAAUAAAACUGGUAAAGGCAAAACACCAUGUAUGCAUGAUGACCCUGUACAGUGAACCAAAUUAGUGUAAGGAGAAAUACAUUGUGACUUUUUCUCAGUAGAAAGUACAGCAUCUGCUCCUUUCUUUACAGCUGUUUAGCAAAGAGAGUCUCGUUACGCCCAUGGACAUUUUACUUUAGAUGGGCAGUGGAUGGUAGGAGCUAAUAGUCUAUGUGGCAGCCAUUUUGUCUGUAGAUUAACUACACUGGUGUAUACAGAAAUUGCAAGGACAGGAGUUCCAGAGUGACAAUUAAUAUCAGGGUUUUUUCCCCCAGCCGGAACUCAGUUGAUUGGGCUCCAUUGCUGUUAUAAGAGAACAAGGGAGGCGUUCAUGGUGAGUUCUGGCACCUCUUUUUUCUAGAAAAAUAGCACUGAUUAAUAUGAUUGUGAUUAUUUAUUAGAUUGCUUACCGGCCUUCACAGUAAAGUCCCAGAGAGAAUUGCAGCUGUGUAGAAAUGCAACAUUAAAAUCAGUCAAAACCAUUUUAAAUCAAAAGAAUGGAAUGGGUUCUAAAAACAUGUUUCAGGUAUGAAAUGUUAGGGGAAAGAGAUGUGGCUUAAGCAUAUGACAAAAGCUACACUAUUAAGGUGCCAGACGCAUCUCUGUGGGGAGAGAAUUACACAGUUCAGGGCUGCCUUAGAGAAUGCUCACCCCCCCCAAAAAAAAAAUUGCGAAGGUGAUAAAAGUACCAAGAACCCCGCCCCCAAGUAGAGUCUGUAGGGAUGACUAUUUGGGAUUUAUAUCAGUGACAGUAUUUAUUGUCACUAGUAUAUAGAAACUGCACAGAACAAUAACCAAAAAAGAAAUAUUCAUAGAAGUCUUAAAGGUAAAGGUAAAGGGACCCCUGACCAUUAGGUCCAGUCGUGACCGACUCUGGGGUUGCGGUGCUCAUCUCGCUCUAUGGGCCGAGGGAGCCGGCGUUUGUCCGCAGACAGCUUCCGGGUCAUGUGGCCAGCAUGACUAAGCCGCUUCUGGCGAACCAGAGCAGCGCACGGAAACGCCGUUUACCUUCCCGCCGGAGCGGUUCCUAUUCAUCUACUUGCACUUUGACGUGCUUUCAAACUCCUAGGUUGGCAGGAGCUGGGACCGAGCAACGGGAGCUCACCCCGUCACAGGGAUUCGAACCACCGACCUUCUGAUCGGCAAGUCCUAGGCUCUGUGGUUUAACCCAUAGCGCCACCUGCGCCCCUUUUCAUAGAAGUCUUAAGUUGGUGCAGUUCUCCCAAUAAAGUUAUACCUAUAUGAGAGGGAGGUAGGACAGUUGCUACAGCAGUUGUCUUACUGUGUCCUGUCUAGUCUUUUCUUUCACUGC
rnacentral:lncRNA from 1 species